rnacentral:lncRNA from 1 species
ACCACAGUUCUUCAAUCAAAGUAUAUAUCUACAUAUAUAGAGAGAGUACACUUCAUAAUUUUGUCUCUUGUCUUCCGUAAACGUAGCACGAAAAUUUGAUACCUAGUAUUGUAAGGCAGGUCGUAGAAGCAGUCUUCCUGCACAUAUUUAAAAAUCAUAGCAAGUCAAAAAAAUGAAGCAAAUAGAUCACCAGAGGCACUUAGUGCCAAAAUAAUACACAAAGACAAUAGAGUUGCUACGUGAUACUAAUGUACAUCGUAUUGCUCAUAAACAAAAAAAAACAAUUAGAAAUCUAUAUCAAACAGUUUCACGAUUCAAACUUGGAAAUAAAAAUUGCAAUGCUGAAGGAACUAUAAAUUAGAAAUGAUACCUCAGAGUCUCUUGAUCCAAGUAAACUUCUGUCAUUAAUGUUAGCAGAUCCAAUUAAGGACGUACAGUCAUCAAUUAUCAUGACCUUACUAUGAACAUUGCAGUAAAAAAAAGAGAAGGUUGUUGGUUGUGACAUAUGCACGUAGUAGAAGCUAGACUUUCAAUACAUUUUAUAUUUUAAGAAUAUAUGUAAAUUUGUUAAUCUUUAACAGCAGUUGCCGAUUAAUAUGAGCGAAAGCUUUGAAACCCUACACUUCCAUGAUAUGUGCACUACCACUGUUGGGUUUGUGUUCCAGCAACAUUUUCUAUGAUAUUUUAAAAUUUAUAUCAUGUUACAUUAUUCAUAUAAAAUGCUCAAAAAAAUAUAAAAUUAAAUAACAUACAUCAGUGUUUCGACUCUGUUGAACUAAUUCCUGAGAUAUACAGUAUUUUAAAGAGAGGGAAAAACAUUAAAUAAUCUUUGCCACAAUACCCAACAGAUACAAAAAACAUUUGUCUUCCUUUUACAGGAGGGAGUAAAAGAGGUACCUUGAGUGAUUCUACUUGUGAUAAUGAGUUGGCAAGCAUUGCAGCCCUGGAAUAUGUUCUGCAUUAUAUUAUCUUACAGUUAAAAAGAAAAUAAUCAAUUUUCUCAAACACUAUGUUUCUGUUUUCUAGGAGGAUUCAUCCCAAAAUUAACAUCAGUUUAUAAACCUUUUUGCCUUAGAAAAGCAACGGGUCAACAAACAUUCUCACUCUAAAAUGCAGUAAAAUUAUUACAAGACCAUCUUUUUCAGAAGUAAAAUUAGUUCCUCUAUAUUUUCCACAAAAUAAUGAUGUAUCAAUAGAAACACAAUAAGCUCACAAUAAUGAGAAAUCAUUUCAGGUAGUUUCGCACUUUCUGCGACAAAAAACUCAUAAAGCUUAAGACACUAUGUUUCUGAAGAAGGAAAAUCAGCAGUAACUAAUUGCAUUGUGUAGCGAAAUUGAACGAUCCAUCCCACAUCUAUUCAUCACCUUAGCAGCGCACACCUGUGUAGACGAGCCCAAUAAGUAUGUUGGACCACCUCCUUACCUAAAAGGUUAACCUAUUAGGUUGAUGUUCUACCAUACUUAUUAAGCCAUCUACACUCUUGAAUUUAACCGAUGUGGGAUUCAUGUGAAAUCCCAACAAUCUCCACCUUUCACUUGAAUACCCAUCACAAGUAUCAUACUAGAGUAUCUUAUCAUUAAGCACACCUUCUUUGAAUCCUUCAAGAGCUCUCUACUCGACUCUAAUACUACUCCCAGCAGUUUUUCCUAGAGCCAUCCCGAGCCAUGCUCCACCCGAUUCAAAUACUUUUUGAGUCCUUCAAGAGCCUUGCUUGACUCUAAUAUUACUCCACCACGUCCUGGGUGUCUCACCACGUCCUGGGUGUCUCAGCAAUUUCCCUAGAGCCUUCCCUAAGCCCGCUCCACCCGACUCAAAUCAUCCCGUGCUCCACCUGACACGAGGCCCCCGUGCUCCACCUGACACGAGGCCGUGCUCCACCUGAUUCAACUCUAUUUACUCCACCCACGAGGCCUGCGAAUUGUACCUCUCGCGCACCCCCUCGCACCUUGAAGUUGAUACUUGGACUCCCACCGAACCAUGGGCUUUGAUACCACUUGUAGGGAAAUUGUACGAUCCAUCCCACAUCUAUUCAUCACCUUAGCAGCGCACACCUGUGUAGACGAGUCCAAUAAGUAUGUUUGGACCACCUCCUUACCUAAAAGGUUAACCUAUUAGGUUGAUGUUCUACCAUACUUAUUAAGCCAUCUACACUCUUGAAUUUAACCGACGUGGGAUUCAUGUGAAAUCCCAACACAUUGCAUGUCAAAAGCCAAAAAGAAGAAGUUGAAGCUUGUAACUAGAAGGACAAAUGAUAAUUUGAAAGCCUACCAAGUGAUGACUGGACAAAAGAAGUACAUUUCUACCCAAGGUAGAUCAUAUUGAUACUAUGAAGCCAUUCAUGAGCAGACUAAAAUGGUUCUAAUACAACAAAGGAGGCAAACGAGGUUCCUAAGAAAUACGUCAAGCAAGUACCAUGAACUGGAAUUAUACAGUUUCAUUAAGAAGAUGCAUAAAACUUCUGAAACUUGCAAAAGAUUUAAUACCAAUAUAUGAUUAUUUCUUUCUGAUAGAAACAUAUAUGUUUUCUUGACAGAAACAGAAAUAUGGCAAUAUGGGAUAUCUUGGUAAGACAUCCAACAGAUGUAAGGAGGUGGGAGACUCCAAAUGACAAUAAGCUCGGAAGAUUAGCUCUCUUUCUUUUCGCCACUAGCUUCUGAUAGCAAUGGUUCAAGUUCCCCUUUACGGUAUAGCUUAACAGUAUCUGCACCAUGAAUUAAAAUCAAAACUUUUUCACUAGUUCUUUCACAUCCAGCUUCAAUAAUUUUGAUAGCCAUGCAAUCAUCUAGGAGUAAUUGAGUUAAAUGGCAAGCACUAUACCAAAUACUUGUAAUAAUCCAUGAAAUAAAUAAAAAUAACAAGAAGAGAACUUCUGGAAGUAUCACAAUAUUAAUAUUAUAGUGAGAAAAUUAAGUGUAGCAUCUCAAAAUAGAAAACUCUAAUAAAUUGAGGAUGAAACAAAAAACAGAAGGAAAAAAAAGGAAUAAAAACAUAAUACCAUACUUAAACGACAGUGUAUAAGAUAGUACUUGUACAACCUCCAAUGUGUUUUGCCCCUGGUCAUGAAAAAGACAGAAACUUUCAGCACUUUUAUUUUUAUAGAUAAAAUCUGAAAUACCAUUCCUUUGAAAGAAUUCUCUCCCAUAAACUUUUACAGUGAAACAAACAACAUAGCUACUUAAAAAUGAAGGGAAGAGAUCAAAGAAGCCAGGUACAAUAUUUCCAAGGACAUAUUAUGAUGACCAUAUAUAAGAUGAUAUAGUAGUGCAUACAGAAUGCACUGCUCUUUCGAUAAUAAGAUAAGAGAAUAAGAUAAGCUUUGAAACCCUACACUUCCAUGAUAUCUUAAAUUGAUAAUAAGAUAAGAGAAUAAGAUGAUAUAGUAGUGCGUACAGAAUUGAUAAAGUCAUUGUUAAAAUCGUUUGGAGAGAGAGAACUGAAACUCAAUCGCUUAGAUGCGCCACUUAUCUGGAUAUUGGGCUGCCGAAAAUGUUUCUCAGAGGAGUCGGAGUUAAGGUCGAGGGAAUCCCUAAUAUACAGAGAGCCGCACAGAUCUGUGUUGAAUAGAGAGAGGCGCAGAUCUAUUCUAGGUUAGGCUUCUCUUUUUGGAACAUAAUAGAAGAAUGGCAGGGAAGUUUAAUCGCUUAGUGUAAUAUUUGAUGGCUUAAUAAAAGUCCAUCUCCUGCUUGGAGUCUAUGACUCAGCACUUACAACUUAUUA